rnacentral:rRNA from 1 species
UACGGAGGGUGCAAGCGUUAUCCGGAUUCACUGGGUUUAAAGGGUGCGUAGGCGGGCAGGUAAGUCCGUGGUGAAAUCCCCGAGCUUAACUCGGGAACUGCCAUGGAUACUAUUUGUCUUGAAUAUUGUGGAGGUAAGCGGAAUAUGUCAUGUAGCGGUGAAAUGCUUAGAUAUGACAUAGAACACCAAUUGCGAAGGCAGCUGGCUACACGAAUAUUGACACUGAUGCACGAAAGCGUGGGGAUCAAACAGG